rnacentral:rRNA from 1 species
GAUGAACGCUGGCGGCGUGCUUAACACAUGCAAGUCGAACGGAAAGGCUCCUGCUUGCAGGGGUACUCGAGUGGCGAACGGGUGAGUAACACGUGGGUGAUCUGCCCAGCACUUCGGGAUAAGCCUGGGAAACUGGGUCUAAUACCGGAUAGGACGAUGGUUUGGAUGCCAUUGUGGAAAGUUUUUUCGGUGUGGGAUGAGCUCGCGGCCUAUCAGCCUGUUGGUGGGGUAAUGGCCUACCAAGGCGUCGACGGGUAGCCGGCCUGAGAGGGUGUACGGCCACAUUGGGACUGAGAUACGGCCCAGACUCCUACGGGAGGCAGCAGUGGGGAAUAUUGCACAAUGGGCGCAAGCCUGAUGCAGCGACGCCGCGUGGGGGAUGACGGCCUUCGGGUUGUAAACUCCUUUCGCUAGGGACGAAGCGCAAGUGACGGUACCUGGAGAAGAAGCACCGGCUAACUACGUG